rnacentral:miRNA from 1 species
UGGUACUUGGAGAGAGGUUCCCCAAGCAACUAUGCAUGUGGACAACGUAUGUUGCUCGGCGAACCCCUCCUCAGUGUCA